GGAUUUGCCGAAUAAUGAAGAGUCCGUAAUGCCUGUGUAUUCACAAAACAUCAAUGAACAAGAUUUAUGUGUGUUGUCUGUACAUAUACUUCAACUUUAAAGAAAACCUGUCACGGCUUCUGGAUCUGUUUGUGUUUAUGUAAACACAAAUAACCGAACUAUGACCUCCAUAUGGUGAAGUGAUAAUGUAUUGACAAUAAUAAUGCACUGAUCAAAGAUGAUGUUAUGACCGUCUGUUGCCAGAGGUCAUGGACGGCGGACUUUAUAGGCUGCACCAGUACCGAUAAACUUGAUUUAUUAUUAUUUAAUUUAGAACAUUAAUCCAUUUAAUCUUCAUUUACACUUCAAACGUAGUUUCUCAUGUUGAUUUGGACAUCUGUUGCCAGGGUUCAAUUCAGCACACUAUUAAUUCAUAAUUUCAUUACAUUUUAGUUUUAUUUCAAUUUUAAUUAUCUAUUCUAUUUUAAAGAUUUGAUUUGCAAUUUUAAUUUACGGUUACCCAAAGACCCUUUGUUCAUGGGUUGGUAACCGACAGAAGCCGUGGUCUUACUUCGCCAAUAAAUAUAUAUUAUUCUUAA